GGGUUGGUGUCCCGAGCGGCAAUGGGAACUGUCUGUAAAACAGGUGUGGUACAGCCACUACGUAGGUUCGAGUCCUACUCAACCCA
rnacentral:tRNA from 1 species